rnacentral:ribozyme from 9 species
CAAAUUAAAAACAAGAAAAAAACAUGCUAAAAACACAAAUGCAGGUUCAGCUUCUUGUGCAAAUUAUCUUCUCAGCAACACCCCUUGCUCUUUUUGCCGACCUUGAGUUUCUUUUUUUUCUUCUUUUU